rnacentral:tRNA from 1 species
GGGCUUGUAGCUCAGUUGGUUAGAGCGCGCCCCUGAUAAGGGCGAGGUCGUUGGUUCGACUCCAACCAGGCCCA